rnacentral:rRNA from 1 species
GUACACUCCUACGGGAGGCAGCAGUGGGGAAUAUUGCACAAUGGGCGCAAGCCUGAUGCAGCCAUGCCGCGUGUAUGAAGAAGGCCUUCGGGUUGUAAAGUACUUUCAGCGGGGAGGAAGGCGAUAAGGUUAAUAACCUUGUCGAUUGACGUUACCCGCAGAAGAAGCACCGGCUAACUCCGUGCCAGCAGCCGCGGUAAUACGGAGGGUGCAAGCGUUAAUCGGAAUUACUGGGCGUAAAGCGCACGCAGGCGGUCUGUCAAGUCGGAUGUGAAAUCCCCGGGCUCAACCUGGGAACUGCAUUCGAAACUGGCAGGCUAGAGUCUUGUAGAGGGGGGUAGAAUUCCAGGUGUAGCGGUGAAAUGCGUAGAGAUCUGGAGGAAUACCGGUGGCGAAGGCGGCCCCCUGGACAAAGACUGACGCUCAGGUGCGAAAGCGUGGGGAGCAAACAGGAUUAGAAACCCUUGUAGUCCCAUG